UUGUCGCCCCGCAAUCUUAACCCUCGACAGACAGUUAGAAAACUUUCUCUUUUGUAGUGUAAGAAACGUUUAAUGAAGAACUGUUGUUUUUACAUAGCUAAGGACCUGGCGUCUGACCCCAGCAGGGGGGAAGGACUGAGAGACAUCAGACAAUGAAUUCAUAAUGUAAUACACAGUCUCUUCCUGGAAUAUGUACUGAACACCUGUAUACAUACCGAUACCUGUAUUGAUAAGUUAAUUUAGGGGGAAGUGUAGCGGAAGUACCAGGAAUCCAUAUCUUAAACAGACUGAUAAGGGGAAGGGUGUUGUGUGCGUUGGGAUAGUCUGUAAACCCUGAAGUACCCAACCAAUGGGGAACAGGGGAUGGAAAUUGCGGCCGGGAUUUGGGGGAGAUAUAAGCAGGGGCUUUUUGCCCUAUUAGGUGUGCCUGCCUUUAGGUAGAACACCUGGUCUUGCAAAAUCAUUAUUAAAAUAUGCUUUGCUGAGAGAUCCUGCCUGGGCCUAUUAUAUUUGCAAAAGAAUUGUUUCCUACAGCAGCUAGGAUGUUUUUUGUUUGAAUUUAGUUUGAGAAGAAGAAGAUAACACCCCAGGAGAGAGAGAAAGUUUUUCAUUGCAGUUGUCUGGGAGCCAAGGCCUCUCAGCUCACAGGUGUGAGGCAGCCGGGAAUGGGGGCAUAGAUGUGGCAGAGCUUGACUGACAUCCAGAUUGAUCAAUAAGAAUAUCCUGUGACAUUAGCAUCAUGCUUCAUAUUUAAGGUGAGGUGGGAUCUUCUGUCUAGGGUCAGAGUUGGGACCGAGCCGGGAGAGUUCUGUUUGGGAGUUUCUCUAGUUCAGCCUUUGCCAUCCUGCUGUUCUGCAGAGGCCUCUGAGCCUUUCUGCCUUUAUUUCUCUUUUCUCUCUCCAGGAUCGGUUAUUGGGACCACGUGCUGCUUCCUGGGACAGGCUGCUCAGUAUGGACAGAGUUCGUGAGGAAUUGCAUCAGAACGGCUGCAGAAGCUCAGCAAAGGCCAACUCUGGCUACAUGGCUUAUACAAGCAGCUUCACCUUGGAUCUGAAGGGCAGCUCUUGCAGACGGUCUUCAGCAGCUGCAGGUGUCUUCUGCAUUUCGAACGGCCUUUGGGAUUAUCUGUUGCCUUCACUGCAAUGAUCUUGGAGCCAAGCUGUGCUAAAUUCUGUGGAGUUAUGUAAGACAGGAACAAACUCAUCUGCCUUGUCAUGACACACC